UAAAAAUAUGGUUGUAAAUGCAUUUACCGGUCAUUCUGAUAUUAAUGCUCGCUAUGGGAACACAGGAUGGCCGGGCAGUGAUAGUUGUACAUUUCCAUCACUCGUUGUGUUGAUUUCAUCAUGUCCAUUAGGUGAUGUUUUUACACUAUAGAAUCAUAUUGCAAGUGCGCGCGCAUUUGCAAUAUGUUUCAAUGUGCAUUUACCAUAUGAAAUUUGACAUGCUCAAAAAUGCUAAAUUGACUGGUCUGAUGGACACAGGAUGGCCGAGCAGUGAUAGUUGUACAUUUCCAUCACUCGUUGUGUUGAUUUCAUCAUGUCCAUUAGGUGAUGUUUUUUCACUAUAGAAUCAUAUUGCAAAUGCACGUGCAUUGUUGUGCAACUGGUAACCCAAAAAUAAAAAUAUGGUUGUAAAUGCAUUUACCGGUCAUUCUGAUAUUAAUGCUCGCUAUGGGAACACAGGAUGGCCGGGCAGUGAUAGUUGUACAUUUCCAUCACUCGUUGUGUUGAUUUCAUCAUGUCCAUUAGGUGAUGUUUUUACACUAUAGAAUCAUAUUGCAAGUGCGCGCGCAUUUGCAAUAUGUUUCAAUGUGCAUUUACCAUAUGAAAUUUGAAAUGCUCAAAAAUGCAAAAUUGACUGGUCUGAUGGACACAGAAUGGCCGAGCAGUGAUAGUUGUACA